UUGACCUACGGGGGGCAGCAGUGGGGAAUAUUGCACAAUGGGGGAAACCCUGAUGCAGCGACGCCGCGUGAGUGAAGAAGUAUUUCGGUAUGUAAAGCUCUAUCAGCAGGAACGAGACAAGACGGUACCUGACUAAGAAGCCCCGGCUAACUACGUGCCAGCAGCCGCGGUAAUACGUAGGGGGCAAGCGUUAUCCGGAUUUACUGGGUGUAAAGGGAGCGUAGACGGCAGGGCAAGUCUGGAGUGAAAGCCCGGGGCCCAACCCCGGGACUGCUUUGGAAACUGCCAUGCUAGAGUGCUGGAGG
rnacentral:rRNA from 1 species